rnacentral:rRNA from 1 species
AUGCAGGGACAAGAGGUGAUCGCCCAAUUGGGUUGCCCGGUGGUGCAGCUCCCCAUCACUUAUCUGGGCAUCCCGUUGUCGACGCGACGGCCUUCCGCCGCCCAGUUGCAGCCCCUCGUUGAUAUGGUGGCUGCCCGGCUUCCUACCUGGAAGGUGUGGCUCAUGAACAAAGCCGGGCGUCUUGCCCUUGUCAAAUCGGUCCUCAACGCAAUACCAGUGCACCAGCUGCUCGCGUUCGCUCCCCCGAAGAAGACGCUCAAACAAUUGGCGAAGAUCCAGCGAGGCUUCUUGUGGGCUGGGCGGGCCGUGGCCAACGGUGGCCAUUGCCAUGUCAACUGGAGCCGUGUGUGCCGUCCUAUCGCGUAUGGUGGGCUGGGAGUCCGAGACCUGGAGCGCGCUGGCCUCGCGCUACGAUUGCGAUGGCUCUGGUUCACCCGCGUCGAUCCAGACCGUGCCUGGCAAGGUCUCGAUCUGCAGUUCUCUCACGAGGAGCGCGCGCUCUUCUUUGCCUCCACUACCAUGAUCAUUGGAAGUGGCUCGACGACACUUUUUUGGGAAGAUCGCUGGAUUGGCGGGCAGUCUGUAGGUGAGAUAGCUCCCCUACUCCACCAAUGCAUUCCCAAACAUCGACGCAAGGCCAGGACGGUGGCUGAAGGGCUGGCGGGUAACUCUUGGGCACAUGAUAUUCAAGGGGUCUUGGGUCUGCACGAGAUCGGACAAUACUUACUGCUAUGGCAGGCUGUGUGCCACACCAUCCUGACGAACGAGCCGGAUCGCCUGCUCUGGAGGUGGACCACCAAUGGCACCUACUCGGCGCACUCAUGUUAUGCAGCCAGUUUCCAGGGAUCCACGCGGUGCCAUUCUUGGAAGUUGGUAUGGAAGAGUUGGGCGCCUCCACGGGUAAAAAUUUUCCAUUGGCUCGCCGACCAGGAUCGCUGCUGGACUGCUGAGAGGCUCGCGCGACGUGGCUUGCAGCAUCACCCUCGAUGCCUCCUUUGCGACCAGGCCGUGGAAACUAUCCAGCACCUGCUGCUGACCUGCCCCUUUGCACGUCAGACCUGGCACAUUGUCCUUGAUUGGUUGAUUAUUCCGGUCCAAAUCCCCGAUCAGGAGCACACAGUCACGGAGUGGUGGCUGGGCGCGAAAGAGCUCGCGCCGCCGGUGCAUCGGAAGGCCCUCAAAUCCAUCGCGCUUCUUGUGCCCUGGAUGCUCUGGAAGCACAGGAACGCCUGUGUCUUCGACAACGCCACGCCAUCCAUCGAAUCACUAGUGGUUAGGAUCAAGGACGAG